UACGUAGGGGACUAGCGUUGUUCGGAUUUACUGGGCGUAAAGCGCGCGCGGGCGGUUUGGCAGGUCAGGGGUGAAAGCCCGGGGCUCAACCUCGGAACGGCCUUUGAGACUGCCAGACUUGAGACCGGAAGAGGAGAGUGGAAUUCCCAGUGUAGAGGUGAAAUUCGUAGAUAUUGGGAAGAACACCAGUGGCGAAGGCGGCUCUCUGGUCCGGUACUGACGCUGAGGCGCGAAAGCGUGGGGAGCAAACAGG
rnacentral:rRNA from 1 species